rnacentral:rRNA from 1 species
GACGAACGCUGGCGGCGUGCUUAACACAUGCAAGUCGAACGGUGAUCCAUCAGCUUGCUGGUGGUGAUCAGUGGCGAACGGGUGAGUAACACGUGAGUAACCUGCCCCUGACUCUGGAAUAACCCCGGGAAACCGGGGCUAAUACCGGAUACGACACCGAUCCGCAUGGGUAUGGUGUGGAAAGUUUUUUCGGUUGGGGAUGGGCUCGCGGCCUAUCAGCUUGUUGGUGAGGUAGUGGCUCACCAAGGCGACGACGGGUAGCCGGCCUGAGAGGGCGACCGGCCACACUGGGACUGAGACACGGCCCAGACUCCUACGGGAGGCAGCAGUGGGGAAUAUUGCACAAUGGGCGGAAGCCUGAUGCAGCGACGCCGCGUGAGGGAUGACGGCCUUCGGGUUGUAAACCUCUUUCAGCUCUGAAGAAGCGAAAGUGACGGUAGGAGCAGAAGAAGCACCGGCUAACUACGUGCCAGCAGCCGCGGUAAUACGUAGGGUGCGAGCGUUGUCCGGAAUUAUUGGGCGUAAAGAGCUUGUAGGCGGUUUGUCGCGUCUGCUGUGAAAAUCCGGGGCUCAACUCCGGACUUGCAGUGGGUACGGGCAGACUAGAGUGUGGUAGGGGAGACUGGAAUUCCUGGUGUAGCGGUGAAAUGCGCAGAUAUCAGGAGGAACACCGAUGGCGAAGGCAGGUCUCUGGGCCACUACUGACGCUGAGAAGCGAAAGCGUGGGGAGCGAACAGGAUUAGAUACCCUGGUAGUCCACGCCGUAAACGUUGGGAACUAGGUGUGGGUCUCAUUCCACGAGGUCUGUGCCGCAGCUAACGCAUUAAGUUCCCCGCCUGGGGAGUACGGCCGCAAGGCUAAAACUCAAAGGAAUUGACGGGGGCCCGCACAAGCGGCGGAGCAUGUGGAUUAAUUCGAUGCAACGCGAAGAACCUUACCAAGGCUUGACAUACACCGGUAACGCCCAGAGAUGGGUGCCCCGUAAGGUCGGUGUACAGGUGGUGCAUGGUUGUCGUCAGCUCGUGUCGUGAGAUGUUGGGUUAAGUCCCGCAACGAGCGCAACCCUCGUUCCAUGUUGCCAGCAGCACCUUUGGGUGGCUGGGGACUCAUGGGAGACUGCCGGGGUCAACUCGGAGGAAGGUGGGGAUGACGUCAAAUCAUCAUGCCCCUUAUGUCUUGGGCUUCACACAUGCUACAAUGGCCGGUACAAAGGGCUGCGAAACCGCGAGGUGGAGCGAAUCCCAAAAAACCGGUCUCAGUUCGGAUUGGGGUCUGCAACUCGACCCCAUGAAGUCGGAGUCGCUAGUAAUCGCAGAUCAGCAACGCUGCGGUGAAUACGUUCCCGGGCCUUGUACACACCGCCCGUCAAGUCACGAAAGUCGGUAACACCCGAAGCCGGUGGCCCAACCCCUUGUGGGAGGGAGCCGUCGAAGGUGGGACUGGCGAUUGGG